CCUUACGGCCAGGGCUACACACGUACUACAAUGGUAGGGACAGAGGGCUGCAAGCCGGCGACGGUAAGCCAAUCCCAGAAACCCUAUCUCAGUCCGGAUUGGAGUCUGCAACUCGACUCCAUGAAGUCGGAAUCGCUAGUAAUCGCAGAUCAGCAUUGCUGCGGUGAAUACGUUCCCGGGCCUUGUACACACCGCCCGUCACACCAUGGGAGUUUGUUGCACCAGAAGCAGGUAGCUUAACCUCGGGAGGGCGCU
rnacentral:rRNA from 1 species